GGGGCGUCGGCUCAAGUGGUCAGCACCUGCUUUGCACGCAGGCAUUCUUAGGAGUUCGAGUCUCCUACGCUCCA
rnacentral:tRNA from 1 species